ACGUAGGGUGCGAGCGUUAAUCGGAAUUACUGGGCGUAAAGCGUGCGCAGGCGGCGCAUUAAGACAGGUGUGAAAUCCCCGGGCUCAACCUGGGAAUUGCGCCUGUGACUGAUGUGCUCGAGUUCGGCAGAGGGGGGUGGAAUUCCACGUGUAGCAGUGAAAUGCGUAGAGAUGUGGAGGAACACCGAUGGCGAAGGCAGCCCCCUGGGUCGCGACUGACGCUCAUGCACGAAAGCGUGGGGAGCAAACAGGAUUAGAUACCCUGGUAGUCCACGCCCUAAACGACGUCGACUAGGUGUUGGGGAAGGAGACUUCCUUAGUACCGUAGCUAACGCGUGAAGUCGACCGCCUGGGGAGUGCGGUCGCAAGGCUA
rnacentral:rRNA from 1 species